rnacentral:rRNA from 1 species
AACGCUGGCGGCGUGCUUAACACAUGCAAGUCGAACGAGAAUCUAAUGAUGGAGUUUUCGGACAACUGAUUUAGAGGACAGUGGCGGACUGGUGAGUAACGCGUAGGCAACCUGCCCUUUAGUUGGGGACAACAUCCCGAAAGGGGGUGCUAAUACCGAAUGUGAUCGCUCUUCCGCAUGGAAGAGCGAUGAAAGAUGGCCUCUAUUUAUAAGCUAUCGCUAAAGGAUGGGCCUGCGUCUGAUUAGCUAGUUGGUGGGGUAACGGCCUACCAAGGCGAUGAUCAGUAGCCGGUCUGAGAGGAUGAACGGCCACAUUGGAACUGAGACACGGCCCAGACUCCUACGGGAGGCGGCAGUGGGGAAUAUUGGGCAAUGGACGCAAGUCUGACCCAGCAACGCCGCGUGAAGGAAGAAGGCUUUCGGGUUGUAAACUUCUUUUGUCAGGGAAGAGUAGAAGACGGUACCUGACGAAUAAGCCACGGCUAACUACGUG